rnacentral:tRNA from 1 species
ACAUCUGUUGCUCAAUUGGAUAGAGCGUUAGACUACGAAUCUAAAGGUUGGAAGUUCGAAUCUUCCCAGAUGUA